rnacentral:rRNA from 1 species
GAUGAACGCUGGCGGCGUGCCUAAUACAUGCAAGUCGAGCGAACGGACGAGAAGCUUGCUUCUCUGAUGUUAGCGGCGGACGGGUGAGUAACACGUGGAUAACCUACCUAUAAUACUGGGAUAACUUCGGGAAACCGUAGCUAAUACCGGAUAAUAUUUUGAACCGCAUGGUUCAAAAGUGAAAGACGGUCUUGCUGUCACUUAUAGAUGGAUCCGCGCUGCAUUAGCUAGUUGGUAAGGUAACGGCUUACCAAGGCAACGAUGCAUAGCCGACCUGAGAGGAUGAUCGGCCACACUGGAACUGAGACACGGUCCAGACUCCUACGGGAGGCAGCAGUAGGGAAUCUUCCGCAAAGGGCGAAAGCCUGACGGAGCAACGCCGCGUGAGUGAUGAAGGUCUUCGGAUCGUAAAGCUCUGUUAUUAGGGAAGAACAUAUGUGUAAGUAACUGUGCACAUCUUGACGGUACCUAAUCGGAAAGCCACGGCUAACUACGUG